AACGAACGCUGGCGGCAUGCCUAAUACAUGCAAGUCGAACGAGACCUUCGGGUCUAGUGGCGCACGGGUGCGUAACGCGUGGGAAUCUGCCCUUGGGUUCGGAAUAACUUCGGGAAACUGAAGCUAAUACCGGAUGAUGACGAAAGUCCAAAGAUUUAUCGCCCAGGGAUGAGCCCGCGUAGGAUUAGCUAGUUGGUGGGGUAAAGGCUCACCAAGGCAACGAUCCUUAGCUGGUCUGAGAGGAUGAUCAGCCACACUGGGACUGAGACACGGCCCAGACUCCUACGGGAGGCAGCAGUAGGGAAUAUUGGACAAUGGGCGAAAGCCUGAUCCAGCAAUGCCGCGUGAGUGAUGAAGGCCUUAGGGUUGUAAAGCUCUUUUACCCGAGAUGAUAAUGACAGUAUCGGGAGAAUAAGCUCCGGCUAACUCCGUGCCAGCAGCCGCGGUAAACUACACUACGUACUACGUGACGGGCGGUCGUCGGACGACGGCG
rnacentral:rRNA from 1 species